rnacentral:rRNA from 1 species
AGUGAACGCUGGCGGUAGGCCUAACACAUGCAAGUCGAACGGCAGCACAGUAAGAGCUUGCUCUUACGGGUGGCGAGUGGCGGACGGGUGAGGAAUACAUCGGAAUCUACUUUUUCGUGGGGGAUAACGUAGGGAAACUUACGCUAAUACCGCAUACGACCUACGGGUGAAAGCAGGGGAUCUUCGGACCUUGCGCGAUUGAAUGAGCCGAUGUCGGAUUAGCUAGUUGGCGGGGUAAAGGCCCACCAAGGCGACGAUCCGUAGCUGGUCUGAGAGGAUGAUCGGCGGCCCGGGAGCGUAGACAGGGACCAGACGCCUGCGGUAGGCAGCAGUGGGGAAUAUGAGGCAAUGGGCGCAAGCCUGGUCCAGCCAUACCGCGUGGGUGAAAGAGGCCUUGGGGUUGUAAAGCCCGUUUGUGGGUAAAAAAAAGCAGCAGGUUAAUACCCCGCUGUUCUGACGGUACCCAAAGAAUAAGCACCGGCUAACUUCGUG